rnacentral:lncRNA from 1 species
AUGCCACCAAGUUGGAUAAGCCUUUUGUUCUCUUUUCUUUCUUCUUGCAGAGCCAUGGAAAUUUAUUUUGAGUAGAAGGGGAGUAUGAACAAGUCAAGCCAGUGACACCACUGAUGUCACAGAAGACUCUGACAAUCUUAGGACAUCUAAUAGUGCUGGGACAACUCAGUUAAUUUUAAACAGGAUGUCUGGAAAAAUCACCAUUUGGACCUACAAUGGUGCUACAGAAAGACAGCCAGGCAAGCAAAGGUGUCAGAGAGGAAUUCACCAUCUCUGCACAACAACCAGCUAACUUACUUUUAUCUACUUUCUCACCAAACUCGCUGUGAUGGAAAGUGCUACAGAGCCAUCAGAAACCUUCCACAAUAUGUAAUUGGUCCAGACAUAAUUCACAUGCUGAUCACAAG